rnacentral:tRNA from 1 species
GAAGGUAUAGCUCAAAUGGUAGAGCACAUGCUUAGCAUGCACUAGGUCCUGGGUUCAAUCCCCAGUACCUCCU